AUUGAAGAGUUUGAUCAUGGCUCAGAUUGAACGCUGGCGGCAGGCCUAACACAUGCAAGUCGAACGGUAACAUUUCUAGCUUGCUAGAAGAUGACGAGUGGCGGACGGGUGAGUAAUGCUUGGGAAUUUGCCUUUGCGAGGGGGAUAACAGUUGGAAACGACUGCUAAUACCGCAUAACGUCUACGGACCAAAGGGGGCUUCGGCUCUCGCGUGAAGAGAAGCCCAAGUGAGAUUAGCUAGUUGGUGAGGUAAAGGCUCACCAAGGCGACGAUCUCUAGCUGUUCUGAGAGGAAGAUCAGCCACACUGGGACUGAGACACGGCCCAGACUCCUACGGGAGGCAGCAGUGGGGAAUAUUGCACAAUGGGGGAAACCCUGAUGCAGCCAUGCCGCGUGUGUGAAGAAGGCCUUCGGGUUGUAAAGCACUUUCAGUUGUGAGGAAAAGUUGGUAGUUAAUACCUGCCAGCCGUGACGUUAGCAACAGAAGAAGCACCGGCUAACUCCGUGCCAGCAGCCGCGGUAAUACGGAGGGUGCGAGCGUUAAUCGGAAUUACUGGGCGUAAAGCGCACGCAGGCGGAUUGUUAAGCUAGAGGUGAAAGCCCCGCGCUCAACGUGGGAAUUGCCUUUAGAACUGGCAGUCUAGAGUCUUGGAGAGGGGAGUGGAAUUCCAGGUGUAGCGGUGAAAUGCGUAGAGAUCUGGAGGAACAUCAGUGGCGAAGGCGACUCCCUGGCCAAAGACUGACGCUCAUGUGCGAAAGUGUGGGUAGCGAACAGGAUUAGAUACCCUGGUAGUCCACACCGUAAACGCUGUCUACUAGCUGUUUGUGAUUUUAAAUCGUGAGUAGCGAAGCUAACGCGCUAAGUAGACCGCCUGGGGAGUACGGCCGCAAGGUUAAAACUCAAAUGAAUUGACGGGGGCCCGCACAAGCGGUGGAGCAUGUGGUUUAAUUCGAUGCAACGCGAAGAACCUUACCU
rnacentral:rRNA from 1 species